GACGAAGGUGGCGAGCGUUGUUCGGAAUCACUGGGCAUAAAGCGCACGUAGGCGGCGACGUAAGUUGGGUGUGAAAUCCCUCGGCCCAACCGAGGAACUGCGCCCAGUACUGCGUUGCUUGAGGAUCAAAGGGGUGCAUGGAAUUCCCGGUGGAGCGGUGAAAUGCGUUGAUAUCGGGAGGAACUCCGGCGGCGAAAGCGGUGCACUGGUUGAUUACUGACGCUGAGGUGCGAAAGCCAGGGGAGCAAACGGG
rnacentral:rRNA from 1 species